UGAGUAGGCAUGUUUAUUGUGGUGCGAUAUGAACUGUUGUUUACAAGUGAUAUGAAGUGAAAAAUUUGUGACUGUACUAAGUAAUAUUCGUGACAUACGUGCGUAUAGUGCUUAUUAGUUUGAGAAGAUCAGAAAGUCAAAUUAUAUUUCCUGUUUGAUUCGCGAAGAAAAAAGGGCAAGGACGAACUGCAAGGAGCUAUGUAUGUCCGAAGAUUUCAUUAGUCAAUUGACGGCCACGAUUACCAAAAUCAUGAGUGAACGAUUCUGCAAAGAGAUGAAUGCUUCAAAAAAGAAAACGAAAACAUUUAGGAAGAUCUGAAAUCUCAACAGGAAUUGAUAGUAUCACUCUCAAAUAAACAAGAUAAAUACAUGCGCAGAAGGAAUAUUCGCUUUUUUGGAAUUAGUGAAAGAGAUAAAGAAAACAGUAUCCAUUGAAUAUGCCCACAGAACUGGAAAAUUUGUCGAACGUGAAAAUCGACCCAUUAUGGUUAAAUUACUAAUAUGUGUUACAACAAUAAAAAGCUGCUAAAAAUGCAAUUAUAAUCAUUAGAGAAGAUUUAAAAGAUAAUCAAAUGAAAUUACUCAAAGGAUGCCUCCAAAAAGUUGGGAGUAGCAGUAUAGCUUGGACUAAUUUUGGUAAUAUUUUUGCCAGGAAGCUACUUUGCAGGGACGUUCUGGACAAGGUAGGCUUUUCGAAGAAAAAAUGGUCAGCAAAUUAUUAGAUGCCAAUCGCAUACCUUUGUCCAAAAUGGCGGCUGGACAGGAUACUGUAUCGAAGGAGUUUGAAUCAAGCGUACAUCAUGUGUCUCAUUUCCGGAAGAAACGUCACAACACCAAUCCAGCUCAACGGUUCCAAGAUCAACCUUCAACCAACCAAUACCACAAUUAUUCAUGCAAUUUAUGUGAAACUGAAGAUCACUUAGCACUUCUUCGUCCGAAUGAACAGAAGAAAAAAAAUAGAUUAACAAAAGUUGGGACUUUCAUGAAUGUAUUCAAACUAAAAAUCGCGUCAGUCAACUUUUCAACUACUGACACCAGUAUUGAUUGAACUUUUCAAGAGUAUGAUGCAUUAUUUUCUGCUGGGCCCAGUAGUUUCAACAGAGGUAGUGCAUUUUCGAAACCUAUCAAGGAUGGGCAACUUUCAUUGUACGGGUAAUUAAAAAUAUGGUUCCAUUCAAA